rnacentral:piRNA from 1 species
UCAAACCUGAAAAGAAUUGUC